rnacentral:pre_miRNA from 1 species
AACAAAUCAACUUUUCGGUUUUUAGAUACAAUGUUUAACUCUUCGUCUUAUUAAAAAAAUUACGAUUAAUAAUUUUAUUUUCAUUAGAUGAUAAAACAUGAAUAGUACUUUAUGUGUGACUAAUUUUUUUAAAAUUUCUUGAAAAUUUUUCAAAUAAGAUAGAUAGUCAAAUGCUCGACACAAAAACAAAAAGUUGAUUUUUUA